rnacentral:rRNA from 1 species
GACGAACGCUGGCGGCGUGCUUAACACAUGCAAGUCGAACGGAAAGGCCCUGCUUUUGUGGGGUGCUCGAGUGGCGAACGGGUGAGUAACACGUGAGUAGCCUGCCCUUGACUUUGGGAUAACUUCAGGAAACUGGGGCUAAUACCGGAUAGGAGCUCCUGCUGCAUGGUGGGGGUUGGAAAGUUUCGGCGGUUGGGGAUGGACUCGCGGCUUAUCAGCUUGUUGGUGGGGUAGUGGCUUACCAAGGCUUUGACGGGUAGCCGGCCUGAGAGGGUGGCCGGCCACAUUGGGACUGAGAUACGGCCCAGACUCCUACGGGAGGCAGCAGUGGGGAAUAUUGCACAAUGGGCGGAAGCCUGAUGCAGCAACGCCGCGUGCGGGAUGACGGCCUUCGGGUUGUAAACCGCUUUCGCCUGUGACGAAGCGUGAGUGACGGUAAUGGGUAAAGAAGCACCGGCUAACUACGUG